UCCUACGGGAGGCAGCAGUGGGGAAUCUUCCGCAAUGGACGAAAGUCUGACGGAGCAACGCCGCGUGAGUGAUGAAGGAUUUCGGUCUGUAAAGCUCUGUUGUUUAUGACGAACGUGCAUUGUGUGAACAAUGCAUUGCAAUGACGGUAGUAAACGAGGAAGCCACGGCUAACUACGUGCCAGCAGCCGCGGUAAUACGUAGGUGGCGAGCGUUGUCCGGAAUUAUUGGGCGUAAAGAGCAUGUAGGCGGGUUAAUAAGGCGAGCGUGAAAAUGCGGGGCUCAAGCCCGUAUGGAGCUGGAAACUGUUAGGCUUGAGUGCAGGAGAGGAAAGGGGAAUUCCCAGUGUAGCGGUGAAAUGCGUAGAUAUUGGGAGGAACACCAGUGGCGAAGGCGCCUUUCUGGACUGUGUCUGACGCUGAGAUGCGAAAGCCAGGGUAGCGAACGGGAUUAGAUACCCCAGUAGUCG
rnacentral:rRNA from 1 species